AACGAACGCUGGCGGCAUGCCUAACACAUGCAAGUCGAACGAGACCUUCGGGUCUAGUGGCGCACGGGUGCGUAACGCGUGGGAACCUGCCCUUAGGUUCGGAAUAACUCCCCGAAAGGGGUGCUAAUACCGGAUAAUGUCUUCGGACCAAAGAUUUAUCGCCUUUGGAUGGGCCCGCGUUGGAUUAGCUAGUUGGUAGGGUAAAAGCCUACCAAGGCGACGAUCCAUAGCUGGUCGGAGAGGAUGAUCAGCCACACUGGCGCUGCGACCCGGCCCAGACUGGGACGGGAGGGAGGAGUGGGGAAUAUUGGAGGAUGGGCGAAGGCCUGAUCCAGCCAUGCGGGGUGAGUGAGGAAGGCCUUAGGGUUGUAAAGCUCUUUGACCCGGGAUGAUAAUGACGGUACCGGGUGAAUAAGCUCCGGCUAACUCCGUG
rnacentral:rRNA from 1 species